rnacentral:lncRNA from 1 species
AAAAAAAAACCUAAUCCCUUUGCUCAGGCUUCUUCUCUGUUAUGUUCGGUUGUUCCUCAACAAGAUAUCUUGUUUCAUUCAUAGUUUUAUCAUCGGGUUACUUCAUCGUCCGUCAACUGAUCAAUCUCCGCCAUCUACAGAUAUUUUUUUGAUUUUUUUUUUGUUUUUUUUUUGUUAUUUCAGUAGACAUAUGUAAUUUUAGGAAUUAUUUAUGUGUUACAUGUCCAUUUGUUCUGGUUAUAUGAAGAUAAUUGAAAUUCUUGAUCGUGUUGUACCGUGUAGAGCGAUUAACGCAGAGUUUUUGUUGUUCUUUGGUAUUUUCGAUUUUUUUUCUCCCAUUUCUUCCCUAUUUCAGAAAAUUCCGAAAAUUUCCGAAAUUCCGAAAAUUCCGAAAAUUUCGGAAUCGGAAUUCAUUUUCAGAUUCCGAAUAUUUCGGAAUCGGAAUCGGAAAUGAGAUCUCAGUUCCGAAAAAAAUCGGAAAAUUUCCGAAAGGCCUAUUUCCGAUCCGAUCCGUCCGAUUUCCACCCCUA